AUUGAACGUUGGCGGCAGGCCUAAAACAUGCAAGUCGAACGGUAACAGCGAGAGCUUGCUCUCGGCUGACAAGUGGCGAACGGGUGAGUAACACGUAGGAAUCUACCCAAUAGUGGGGGACAACCCGGGGAAACCCGGGCGUAAUACCGCAUACGCUCUCCUAUCGAAGGAUAGGAAAGGAAAGCGGGGGAUCUUCGGACCUCGCGCUAUUGGAGGAGCCUGCGUCGGAUUAGCUAGUUGGUAGGGAAAAGCCUACCAAGGCGACGAUCCGUAGCUGGUCUGAGAGGACGAUCAGCCACACUGGAACUGAGACACGGUCCAGACUCCUACGGGAGCAGCAGUUAGGAAUCUUGGGCAAUGGGC
rnacentral:rRNA from 1 species